rnacentral:rRNA from 1 species
UAGGGAAUCUUCGGCAAUGGACGAAAGUCUGACCGAGCAACGCCGCGUGAGUGAAGAAGGUUUUCUGAUCGUAAAACUCUGUUGUUAGAGAAGAACAAGGACGUUAGUAACUGAACGUCCCCUGACGGUAUCUAACCAGAAAGCCACGGCUAACUACGUGCCAGCAGCCGCGGUAAUACGUAGGUGGCAAGCGUUGUCCGGAUUUAUUGGGCGUAAAGCGAGCGCAGGCGGUUUCUUAAGUCUGAUGUGAAAGCCCCCGGCUCAACCGGGGAGGGUCAUUGGAAACUGGUAGACUUGAGUGCAAAAGAGGAGAGUGGAAUUCCAUGUGUAGCGGUGAACUGCGUAGAUAUAUGGAGGAACACCAGUGGCGAAGGCGGCUCUCUGGUCUGUAACUGACGCUUAGGCUCGAAAGCGUGGUGAGCAAACAGG